rnacentral:rRNA from 1 species
UACAGAGGGUGCGAGCGUUAAUCGGAAUUACUGGGUGUAAAGCGUGCGUAGACGGUUUCGUAAGUCGGGUGUGAAAUCCCCGGGCUCAACCUGGGAAUUGCAUUCGAAACUGCGAGGCUAGGGUACGGAAGAGGGAAGCGGAAUUUCUGGUGUAGCGGUGAAAUGCGUAGAUAUCAGAAGGAACAUCAGUGGCGAAAGCGGCUUCCUGGUCCAGUACCGACGUUCAGGCACGAAAGCGUGGGGAGCAAACAGG